rnacentral:misc_RNA from 1 species
CGUCUGCCUUCUUUCACCUGCUCUACGGAAAACGGUCAUUGACCUCCACCCACCCCUCUCCUCAUCCUUCUUCUCCCACACAUACAUACGUGGACGUUCACACGCACAAGGGCACAGCCACCACAUCGCUACUUUCUUCAGAGUCUUUGCUCCCUCGUUCAGCCAUGUCUCCACCACUCCUCCGCUGCGCCGCCCCGCCCCUCCCCCCACUAUCACCUUUCCGUAAGAAUCGGUCUUUUCUCUACCCCCGCCCCCUCCCAUCCCCAGCAGGUACUCCUUCCACUGCAUCCACAAAUGGCCGCUGCUCCGUAAGCUGCCGUGAUGAACGCUUCCGUGCAGAAGGCUGGCGUCCCCACCCCCGCCCCCACGGCGCCUGCAACGUAGAGGAUGUCGAGGUGGGUGUCUUGCUACACGAUUUUUUUUCGACUUUUGAAGCGAACCAAUGAGAAAACACAAGAUGUCUGUGGGGCCGGGGGUCUCAGCACACACCAGGGUAGAGAUGUUGUAAAAGGUAAAAAAGGAGAGGGACGUGCACGAAGAAGUGAAAGGCGUGUGCUGUACUAUGCCGGCCUGCUUACGAGUUCGACAUGAGCGUGGGGUACAACUGCGCCACUCAGAAACGAGGCGGUUUCGCCCUUCUGCUUUGUGUUGCUUAGCUUCAGGCUUGCCACAGAGGUGGUCACGCGAGUGUGCGGAAAGGAUUGGGCUCCCGCUUCUGUGUUGUGUCUUCUUCGCCGUCUCAUGUCUCUUCUGCGUUGUCGACGUGAGGCGGUUGGUGAUUGUGUAUUAUCCGCGCCCCCGUACCUCCCUCCCUCCACCUCGUUUUACCCCCCCCCUCUGUUUCUUUUAUCGACGGCCAUGUUAUUUUUUUUUUCCUAUCAGUUUUUUUUUUGUUCUGUCUGCGUGUGUGCGUCUGCGUUUGUCCUGAUGCACAGCCCUGUUGUACCUCACUGAAGCUCUCGCACCCUCUUGCUCUUUCGCUCUCACUCUCGCUCUCUCUCCCUGCCCACGCCUGCAGGUCUUUCUCCUUCUUCUCAUGCCCUCUGCUUCUCUCAGCUUUCAUCUAUACAUAUGCAUAACUAUAUUGGGGCGAAUGUCUCUACUCUGUGAGCAAGACAAAGAAAGGGAAGUGGGGUGGGCAAAGGAAGCACAUGUGGCCACGUAAGAAGAACAGAGGAGUGACGCGCGCUGUGGUUCCCGUGUCUAGUUGACCCAUUCAGCGUCGCGGUCCCUCUUGCUUCUCUGAAUGUGCGCUUGCUCCGCUUGCACCAGACCCGCAUCGCUUCCCUCCCUAGCUCUUUCCCUUACAUGGGCCAAGGUGCAGCCCUGCGCAAAGUCG